ACUUUUGGAUUAAUUGUAUUAGGUUGUCGAUGGAAAUGACGAUACACUUAUAAAGAAGAGGAAAAAUAUGUUAAAAUAACUUUUUGUUUGGACUGCUUAAUAAUUAAGCCAUUUUAAGUGUUUUACGUUUGAAACUGUCACUAAAGACUACUAUACCAAUCGCAAAAAGUUGUCAUUUAUAUAUAAGCUUCCGCAGAAUUACCAAUUUCUUGUUCUGAAAUUUCGUCACUGGUAUUUGAUUUCAAGCGGUAUUUCUUAUUUUAUCUGGUGUUUUGAUCAGAAGACAAUGAUGAACAUUAUUUCAUUCCGUAAUUUUGAAAUUAUUCUAGUUAUCAGGAUGAACAUUUAGAAGUUUUGUUAAGUGUAUAUGUACGGAGAAUAUGACGAAUGUAAGGGAUGUGUUGUCAUGUACAUGUACAAUAUACAUUAUGUACAUGUAUAAAAAAAAAUGUUUUAUUGUCAAAUGGUGCUAAAUGAAAACUAAAUGUACAUAACUAUAAUGUUGAUGGUUCUCCUCGUCGAUCAGAAACAGCAAUAUUUAUUUUACUUUUGAUUUCUUAAUUACAUGUACUUUAUUUACCAUACUUAUACACUUAUUUUAUAACAUGCUGUUUCUAAUAAAAAAAAAAAGAAGAAUAAAAUCA
rnacentral:sRNA from 1 species